rnacentral:rRNA from 1 species
UGGGGAAUAUUGGACAAUGGGCGCAAGCCUGAUCCAGCCAUGCCGCGUGAGUGAUGAAGGCCUUAGGGUUGUAAAGCUCUUUCGGCGGGGACGAUAAUGACGGUACCCGCAGAAGAAGCCCCGGCUAACUUCGUGCCAGCAGCCGCGGUAAUACGAAGGGGGCUAGCGUUGUUCGGAAUCACUGGGCGUAAAGGGCGCGUAGGCGGCUUUGUAAGUCGGGGGUGAAAGCCUGUGGCUCAACCACAGAAUUGCCUUCGAUACUGCAUGGCUUGAGACCGGAAGAGGUAAGUGGAACUGCGAGUGUAGAGGUGAAAUUCGUAGAUAUUCGCAAAGAACACCAGUGGCGAAGGCGGCUUACUGGUCCGGUUCUGACGCUGAGGCGCGAAAAGCGUGGGGAGCAAAACAGGAUUAGAUACCCUGGUAGUCCACGCCGUAAAACGAUGAAUGCCAGCCGUUGGGCAGCUUGCUGCUCAGUGGCGCAGCUAACGCUUUAAGCAUUCCGCCUGGGGAGUACGGUCGCAAGAUUAAAAACUCAAAUGAAUUGACGGGGUCAUAGCUGUUUCCU